GCAGCCACCGGCACCGCCUCUUGUUCUCGUAGCUGCUGGUCUCGACGUGAGCCGGGGACCCCUGCCCACUAAUAGUGCGGGGACUGGAGAGAGCGCGGCUAGGGCUGUCGGAAGACUGGCCGGGGCUGGGAGAGACAGGCGGAGUCCUUUUCGGAUAGAAGAGGGCGCGCCCGCCAUCCUGGGACCCCAGGCGCGCAGGUUCCCUUUGGGGUACCCACACCGAUAAUUGCCAAUGCCCCAAUUAAUUAUGAAAGAACUAAAAUCCUGCCUACAGAGUUCCCGGCGUGGCUCAGCGGUAACAAACCAGACUAGUAUCCAUGAGGAGACGGGUUCAAUCCCUGGCGUCGCUCAGUGUGUUCCGGCGUUGCUGUGAGCUGUGGUGUAGGUUGAAGACACGGCUCAGAUUUGGUGUUGCUGUGGCUGUGGCAUAGGCCAGCAGCUGAAGCUUCAAUUGGACCUGUAGCCUGGGAACUUCCAAUAUGCCAUGGAUGCAGCUCUAAAAAGCAAAAAAAUAAAAUAAAAUAAUAAAAUAAAAUCCUACCUAGGUAUUUAGGCCAAAAGCUCUGCCCCUAGUCUACUGGCUAAAAACCCCAUUUAUUGACCUUCAGGGUGCCACUGCCUGCCCCUGUCUAACUUUCCAAGCAACAAUUGAGAUAUCCCGUAAUCGGGCUCAGCCCAGCUGUUAGAACACCCACUUCAUCUGGCACCUCAGGGUCUCACCGUUGCUGGACUGGAUAUUGUCCUCUCUGUGAAUUCUCUUGUUCUCUCCUUAAACCUUCAUCCUCAGAAUAACAAAUGGGCCUCAUAUUAGGCCUCAACAACCCCUGCCCACCUGCCCCAUCCUCUGAUAAGUCUAAUUCCCUGUUCUUAUACCUUGUGCUUGCAACCUUUUUUUUUUUUUUUUAAGUUAGGAUUAGUUCCUAAACUCUAAAAUCCAGAUGUAAAGAAAACCCAUUUCUAGAGCAGUAUUCCCAGAAAUUCCCUUCCAAAAUUAAAUAUUUUUAAAUGGAUCUUAGUCACUACAUCUAUUGGUGACCCUAUUAUAGUUAUUAUCAUGGAAUAAAAGUAGGAAGGGAUGGUAAAGGUGGAUGCAUGAGAGAUAAUUCUCUGUCCAGUCAUUAUUACUGUCCUAUAAUCAAGUAACUCCUCGGGAUCUGACUCCUUUAGCUCAGAUAUAUGGAGAAGCCUCUAAAGAUUUGCUAAGUGUAGUUGAAAAGCAGGGGGAAAAGUUUACCAGUUCUUUAAGAGCUUUUUAUAACUGUUCUCAUUCUGCUUGGUUUUCAAACAUUUUUCAAAAGAAGUGUUAAGCAAAUAAAAGCAGACUGCUGUUAUUGAAGUGGAGAUGCCCCAGCCCAGAGCAUGACCACUGGCAGGUCACUGACACCUCCUAUGGUGACCUGAAGCCCCUCUUUGGAACCCUUGGGCCAAAAGAAAGAAAGGAAAUAGAGGGGGAGGAAGGGAGGGAGAAGGAAAGGAAGGGAAAGGAAAGAGAAAAAGAUUGAUUUAAAACCUAUGGUCUGAAGUAGAUUUGGAUCUGAUUGGAUUUGGAUUUUGGAACAUGCUUAGAACUGAGUUCUCUUUCUAAAAUGUAACUUUUCAGGAGCUCCUGCUGCGGCGCAGCGAAAACCAAUCUGACUAGUAUCCAUGAGGAUGCAGAUUCCAUCCCUGGCCUCGAGCAGUGGGUCGGGGAUCCAGUGUUGCCAUGACCUGUGGUGUAGGUCACAGACUCUUCUCUGAUCCCACGUUACUGUGGCUGUGGCAUAGGCAGGCAGCUGUAGCUCCAAUUAGCCCCCUAGCCUGGGAACUUCAUAUGCUUAGGGUAUGGCUCUAAAAGAAAAAAAAAAAAAAAA
ensembl:lncRNA